rnacentral:tRNA from 1 species
GUCUCCUUAGCUCAAUGGAUAGAGCGUCUGGCUUCGGACCAGAAGGUUGGGGGUUCGACCCCCUCAGGGGACG